rnacentral:lncRNA from 1 species
CAAGAACGGUAGAGAAAAAACUGUGUUAAAACGAAUCAAUUUAAUAGUUGUUAAUGGCUUUAAACUAGCUGUUAUUAACUGCGAGUAAUCGCAGAUCUGUACUUUUAUGGUGUCUUUUUGUUGUUUGGAUGUACAAGUACCCGGCCACGCCCACUCUGUGUUUUUGUUCUCAUUUGAAUUGUUUUACAUCUGUCAUUUCAGGACCUUUUAUAGCUGACUAUAUGGUAUGGGCUUGGUUCAUUGUUGAGGGGAAGCAAUUAAGGUUGCUCGGGCCUAUUCAAAGUUUAUGUCAGAAGUG